rnacentral:rRNA from 1 species
UCGAGAAUUUUUGACAAUGGGGGAAACCCUGAUCGAGCGACGCCGCGUGGAGGAUGAAGGUCUUCGGAUUGUAAACUCCUGUCAUUGGGGAACCAAGGUGCAUACGUUAACUGCGUGUGCAUUGAUAGUACCCGAAGA